rnacentral:rRNA from 1 species
ACGGCCGUACCAUGCUGAAUAUACCGGUUCUCGUUAGAUCACCGAAGUCAAGCAACAUUGGGCGCGCUCAUUGGGUGGGUGACCCCCUGGGAACACCGCGUGCCGUU